UCCUCAGGAUCCACGUUGUUCCUCGGAGG
rnacentral:piRNA from 1 species